AGUGGUAACCCCCUUGGAUCCCCUUCCACACUGUGGGAGGUUUGUUCUUUUGCUCUUUGCAAUAAAGCUUGCUGCUGCUCACUCUUUGGGUCCAGACUGUCUUUAUGAGCUAUAACACUCACCGGGAAGGUCUGCAGCUUCACUCCUGAAGCCAAGGAGACCACGAACCCACCGGGAGGAAGGAACAACUACAGACACGCCGGCUUAAGAGCUGUAGCACUCACUGCGAAGGUCCGCAGCUUCACUCUUGAGCCAGAGACCACGAACCCACCAGAAGGAAGAAACUCCAAACACAUCCGAACAUCAGAAGGAAAAAACUCCAGACACGCCGCCUUUAAGAACUGCAACACUGCGAGGGUCCGCGGCUUCAUUCUUGAAGUCAGUGAGACCAAGAACCCACCAAUUCCAGACACACUACCAAAGGCAGAGGGGAGCUCCUAGACAAAGAUAUUUUGCUUACAAAUGGAACAUAUCAAAUCAAGCUUUUGUGAACUUGAGGGAAGAAACAAAGAAUAUGAAGCCUAAAUGGAAGUGUCAGGAAAUGGUCGCCUUGCGGACAAGGAAACAGCAGCCUGGAAGGCCAGGAGAGGGCAGACUACCCACCUAACCCUCUGCAGAAUUUUGUGUGGACCCUGGAGACCAGAAACUAACUUCUCCUGCAGAGACAAGGUCUUGCUCUGUCACCCUGGCUGGUCUUGAACUCCUGGCUUCAAGCAAUUCAUCCAUCUCAGCCUCCUGAGUAGCUGGGAUUACAGGUACAAGCCACUGCACCCAGCUGUUUUUUGUUUUGUUUUGUGUUUUCUCCUCACCAUAUAAGUUUAAUUGCCUAGUUUAAGCUCCUACCGUCUUUCAUCUUCAACACAGAACUAUCUUGGUGUUAAGAAAUCUAUCUUUAACAUUUGCUGAUUGGCUGACUAAUCACUGUAUUAUGAGUUAUAUCCAUUAUAAUGUUUUUAACAUGUUUAUUUUACUCAAUGGGGAAUCUAGAUGACUUGCUGCAUGUGAAGAACAGUUCCUGGCACAGGGUUUGCUCCAAAUAAAUGUUGUCAUCAUCACCAGCACCAUCAUCGUCACCAUCAUCAUAAAUGUAAACAUAAUAAUAGCAAAUACCUUACUGAGCUUAAAUGUAUGUUUAAUUCAAUGUAUUUAAAAUUAAAUCCUUUAUCUCUGCA
ensembl:lncRNA LINC02506 long intergenic non-protein coding RNA 2506